CCCUUAGAUGUUCUGGGCCGCACGCGCGCUACACUGAUGCAUUCAACGAGUCUAAAACCUGCUCUGAUAGGGGUGGGUAAUCUUUUGAAUGUGCAUCGUGAUUGGGAUAGAUGAUUGCAAUUUUUCAUCUUCAACGAGGAAUGCCUAGUAAACGCAAGUCAUCAGCUUGCAUUGAUUACGUCCCUGCCCUUUGUACACACCGCCCGUCGCUCCUACCGAUUGAAUGAUCCGAUGAAUAUCAUGGAUUGAGGAUGCAAGCAGGUUCGCCUGUCUUCAUCUUCGAGAAGUGAAGUAAAUCUUAUCAGUUAGAGGAAGGAGAAGUCGUAACA
rnacentral:rRNA from 1 species